rnacentral:rRNA from 1 species
GAUGAACGCUGGCGGCGUGCUUAACACAUGCAAGUCGAACGGAAAGGCCCAAGCUUGCUUGGGUACUCGAGUGGCGAACGGGUGAGUAACACGUGGGUGAUCUGCCCUGCACUUCGGGAUAAGCCUGGGAAACUGGGUCUAAUACCGGAUAGGACGAUGGUUUGGAUGCCAUUGUGGAAAGUUUUUUCGGUGUGGGAUGAGCUCGCGGCCUAUCAGCUUGUUGGUGGGGUAAUGGCCUACCAAGGCGUCGACGGGUAGCGGGCCUGAGAGGGUGUACGGCCACAUUGGGACUGAGAUACGGCCCAGACUCCUACGGGAGGCAGCAGUGGGGAAUAUUGCACAAUGGGCGCAAGCCUGAUGCAGCGACGCCGCGUGGGGGAUGACGGCCUUCGGGUUGUAAACUCCUUUCGCUAGGGACGAAGCGUUUUGUGACGGUACCUGGAGAAGAAGCACCGGCUAACUACGUG